CACCUAGCGGAGCAGCGACUAUUGCUAGUUGAAAACUUUUCCCAAUACCCCGCCUGGACGACGUGCAACACCGUCGGCCGAGGCAAUUUUUGGAAGGCCCUACGGGGC
rnacentral:snRNA from 1 species